rnacentral:rRNA from 1 species
UUAGAGGAGGGAGAGUAUGAGGUGGAGACAUCGGCGGAGAAGAUGGAAUGGCCAGUUCCUAAGGAGAGCAAAAUCUGGUUGCGUGGGGUGUUCACGCUCCCUUCGAGACCAUAUCCACAUAAGGGCCUCAUUGUCAAACCAGCCGGUCUGAGGGCCUUGGUGGUUGAUGGAGAAGACAUAAAAGUGCCGCGCCAGCCAAGUAGCAUCAUUGGAUGUCUUUGCAGGCAUUAUUACCCUGGCCUGGUCCCCAUAGGAGACGGUGAGGAGGAGCCAGCUUGGUCUUGGGAGCAUUGGAAACGAGCUCCGGAUACCAAAGACAAGUGGGGCAGGGUGUAUGGUAGUGCC